AUGAGGAGGAGUACAAGUACGUGAACUGCUUAGAGGUUACCACGAUGAACCUAAAUAUCCAGUAUGAGAAAGUCAUUAUUAUGAGUAUAUUAUUUUAUAAUGUAUUAAUAAUGUGCAUUUUUUUCAUAAAAAGGACAUUGUAAUCUGUUAAUACAAUUUAUAUAUUCUUUUAUAUAUUAUUUUUAUCAUAAAGAGUCAUGUAUAAGUUUACAUAUAAAUUAAUUAAUUUAUUAAUUAAUUGAUGUAAGAUCGAUGAAUUUCUAGAUAAAUAGUUAACAGUAUUAAAAUAUAUAACGCUUACAUCCUUUUUUAUGUUUUAUAUCUAAUAUGGACAUGGACAUAUAUAUGUUUUUGCACCAAUAGUAUAACAAUGCUCAGGAGACGACUAUUGCCGUCC
rnacentral:rRNA from 1 species